rnacentral:rRNA from 1 species
UACAGAGGUGGCAAGCGUUGUUCGGAAUUACUGGGCGUAAAGGGCGCGUAGGCGGCCUUCUAAGUCAGACGUGAAAUCCCCCGGCUUAACCUGGGAACUGCGUCUGAUACUGGGAGGCUUGAGUAUGGGAGAGGGAUGUAGAAUUCCAGGUGUAGCGGUGAAAUGCGUAGAUAUCUGGAGGAAUACCGGUGGCGAAGGCGGCAUCUGGACCAUAAC